UACCAUACGAAUAAGGACCGGCUAAUUCCGUGCCAGCAGCCGCGGUAAUACGGAAGGUCAAGGCGUUAUCCGGAUUUAUUGGGUUUAAAGGGAGCGUAGGCUGUUUGUUAAGCGUGUUGUGAAAUGUAGGAGCUCAACUUUUAGAUUGCAGCGCGAACUGGCAGACUUGAGUGCGCACAACGUAGGCGGAAUUCAUGGUGUAGCGGUGAAAUGCUUAGAUAUCAUGACGAACUCCGAUUGCGAAGGCAGCUUACGGGAGCGCAACUGACGCUAAAGCUCGAAGGUGCGGGUAUCGAACAAGAUUAGAUACCCUGGAAGUCCGCACAGUAAACUAUGGAUGCCCGC
rnacentral:rRNA from 1 species